CAGAGUAGAACUGCCCCCAUAGGGUUUCCAAGGAGCGGCUGGUGGAUUUGAACUGCCGACCUUUUGAUUAGCAGCCAAGCUCUUAACUACUGCCCCAACAGGGCUGCCCAGAGUAUGGUAAAUAAAUAAAUAAAUAAAUUUAAAGACUGAAAUAGAAAUAAUAAACACACUUCGAAAAGUGUCAUGAAAAUCAUGGCUAUGAGUUACAGUUACCUAUCCUCAAACAUGUUAAUUUCUUAUUAUUAGUAUUAUUACUUAACAUAUUAAUAACAAAUUGUAUUGGGAAAAAAAACAGCCACAAGCCAAACCUUUGAAUUUCAAAGAUGUUUAUAUGAGUAUAAAUUGUUUUCGGAAAGUAGCACAAAGGUUGUCUUAAUUAUAAGUCAUCUAUUUGUCAAUCCAAUGUACUUUAUUAAAGUGUUUUAAUAUUCAUCUCUCACUUUUUGAUUUCUAGAGGAGAGCAAGCAUAGUCUGAUAUCUGUGUCAUAACUUAUAUAACCUACGAGGAGAAUUCAGAUAUUACUCAAUGAUGACCUAGGACAGGCUGAGAUAACCCAGAUGAAUAUUUCUAUUUCAUUUCCGUUUUUCAUCUGAGGAUACAGUUGCUGUAAUAAAAUACAGUGACCACUUGACAUCUCUAGAACUUGUGUGGAGUCUUGAUGAAUUUGAGCAAUUUUCCUCUUUGUGCUCCAGGAAUACCCAGCACUACCUGUUAAUUUAUUCAUAGCCAGAGCUGGUGUUUCGUUUGCUUAUGUUAUGUAUUGCCUGGUCUUCGAAUAAUAUUGAAAAAUAGUCUCUAAAAUAAACCUUGAAUGGAUGUGAUGGUCAGAGAAACUGUUCCUUUGGUGAACUUUAGUUUCUUACUGUGCAUUGAUUUGCUCUCUUAAUAUUUUACAAAACGGCCCUCGGGGCUUUUUUCCAAGGCUUAUAUCCCAGAGACGGUGUGUUAACUUCUGUGAAGUUCCUUGACUUAGUGUGCUGGCCCGCUGCAUCAUUUUCUCAGCUCUGGGUCACAUGAUUCCUCCGUCCAGAACACACGCACUUUAAAUUCUCACUUCCUGAUUGAGCCAUCAAGAUUACGUAAGAUGUAAAUCAGUCUUGAUACCUCCGAGCCGGAAUUUUAAGGGGAAAAUGCUGUUUUCCUUUUCUGUUUCAUUAUUGACCCCUAAAAACCGGAGUGAGUGUUUGCUGACCUAUUUGUGUUUGGAAAUGAAAGUCUGUUCGGGGUGUUUUGUUUUGUUUUUUGUCCCUUCCCUUUCAGAGUGAAUCAGACUUUGCUUUCAUUAUAAAAAAUAAGGCACCGAGUAGCUAGACCCGUGGGAGUGGUAGAGACGCAGGACUGAAAUCAAAAUGGUUCCAGUGAUGGAGAGAGCGAUUUAUGCGCUUAUGGCUUUUCAUGAUCUGAACCAAGAGUGCAGCGUCUCUCACAAGGUAACGAUUUCAUGGUUCAGGAUUGCCAAUGGCCGGCCACGUAGCCUUUCCGCUGCCUGAUAUGAGAGUAAUUUCUAGCAGGCAAGAUGACACUUGUUUUGCCACAGAUCCUAAAAUCACCCCACACAUUUUCUCAAAGCUAUUUUGUAGUUGUCAUAGUAACUGAUGUUUGGAGGGUCUUUUUAGUAACUUUAGCUGGAGUUGAUUAAUUUUAUUAACUCUGGGUGUUUUUCUCUUCACUGGUCUCUGGCAAACAAGGGGUGGAGUUGCUCAGAUAUGUAUUUGGUGUUUUUUAGUUCUUGGUUUUCAUAAGUGGUUUUAGUAAAGGAGCAAGAUUGUUACUAACUGAUUUCAGAGAGGUGAAACGUGGGAUUUCAUUACUGCUCUGUAAAAUGGCACUGUCAUUGUAGGAACAGGAGAAUUUAGUUUCACUUUAAAAGAUGGGUUAUGGAAGACUUUCCCCAAAAUUUCACUGUGACUCACUUCCAGUGGUGACAACUGCCCUUUGCUUUGAUUCUCCUAUAUUUAGAACAAGAAUCAGGGCACACAGGUGGGAACAUGUCAGACUUAAACGGGAACAUGAUUUCUUUCAAAAUGCAACACUCAGGACACCAAAAUAUGCUCCACUGAGUAAAUUUUAAAAAAUUGAUGAAUAUGACGUUAUCAAGAUAAAAAAUGCAGUACUUUUUGAAACUCUCAAGUAUGCUAAAAUAAAUGAUCCUCUAGGAAAGUUUAUGAGAAUUUUUUACUGGGGGAAGGUGGCUCAGGAUCAUCUACUGGUAAGGCUCUGUGGCAGAAAUUCUUGCUAAUGUGGCCGUUGGUGAGAAAGGAAGCCCCUCUUGAGCUAGAAGAAAGAAUGGCCCGCUCUAGGUCUGGGGGCUGGGGCUUGAGAAGAUCAGAUGCAUGAUGCUUAUGUUUUCUUGUAAAAGUGAUCAGAGAGAUGUGACACUUACAAAAGGUGUCAUGUGAGUUUUGUGGGUUUAGGACUCUUGUGAGUCCCCUUGCUGCUCUGGGGACUAUUUGUUCAGCGAUGGGCCUUCGAGACGGUCAGGGCUGCAGCGUGUGCAAGCCAGCGGCCGAGAGGUGCGAACGCCAGGCCAGUGAUGUCAGGAGUUAAGAGACCGCGAUUUCAAAACCCUGCGGUAAACAAGGUCAAAGUGUCCUGUUUUGCUGGAGGAAGGCUUGUUUUUAUGAGCGCCACAGUACAUGGAUGAAGUAAUCUUUCAAAAUAAACUUCCAAUUUAUUUAUUUUUAAUUAAAAAAAAUAUUAGCCAGAUGAAAUUUAGUAUGGAUUAUAGCUUUAAGCAGAAUUAUUUUCGUCCCCUGUCUCAUUGGUUUUCUAUAAUUUUCACAGAGGAAAUGAAAAUAUUUCAUUUCCUCUGUGAAAAUUACAACCUGAUCUAGGAUUCUUAAUGCAGUUGUCGAGACCAAGGUAGGGGCAGCCCUUUAAAAACACGGCAAAUGCCAGUCGCAGUCACUGGUAAAAUAUUCCUUCUAAUUUUAGUACCUUGGACUCGUAUUUAGGCAAGCAUUUAAUUAAGUAUGGUAAUGGUUCAGGAUACUGCUGAAUGCGUGGCUCUUGUCUUCAUGAGUUUUCCAACCUUGAGCAUGAGGGUGCCAGAGGCUCAAGUCUGGAUGUUAAUCGGAGCAGUUGUCUGCUGGUCGCCUGGUUCCGGAGCCAACAAGUGGGUGUCCUGGCUGUGUGUUUCGUCACAACAGUAGUGGUGCCACAUAGUGCCUGGAGGUCAAGUCUGCCUGUCCUGGUCGGGUUUCUGAAAUGGCCUGUGAAUUUGGGCAUCUUUAGACGUGCAGGCAUUUUGGAGUCCUCAGCAAACGUGGAUGGAAGCGUAAACACAGCUUGUAAAGUGAAAGCAAGGGCCUGCAAGAGGGAAUCACCAUCAUCUCCUUCCCGACCUGCUUACUGGACUAGAAGACAAAAUGAAUUUAAAGGACUGGCCUGUGCAGGUGGAACUCUAUUGAAGAUAACAGGGUUUAAAGGGCAGGAGAAGAGACCAGUGCUAAAGAAAUAAAUUCAAGACUCUAAGAAGAGGAGUUGAAAUGAUUGUACUACACCGAGAGAGCCGUGAGAGGAAAUUGGUCACUGCGUGUCAUCUUGCGGUCCGGUGAUUCAGGGAGCCGUGGUGGAGGUCAGCAAGGCACGUGGCCGCCAUCCCCGAGGUUUCUGCCUGCUUCUCAGAGGGUACGCUGUCUUCCAAAAAUGAGUGCUCCUCCACCCCCAACAACGAUUCUUCUGCAAUGAAUCACUUCCAGAAAUGAAUAGCCACGGUUUUUUGGAAUGAACGUUGUGAAAUCCCUCCGCUUAUAAUGGCAGGUUUUCAGUUGGUGGUUUUAUCAGACAGAAUUUCUCAAGAUCAAAACGAAACCUUCUCUUUAAAAAGGAAAAAAGUCUUAUCAAUACAGAAAGCAAAAGUAUCUCCUGUCUCCUACCGAAGAACUGUCACUGCAGAUCUUAUGUGCCUGUAUUUAGAGACACAUGUCCAUAUAUAUGCCUGGAUGUAUGAGUUCUUGGAAGCAUGGAUUCAUAGCCAGUAGCUGGUGAUUUCACCUGCAAAAGAUCGCUAACUACAAGAAGUGUUCUCUGCGGUGAGUACGUGGUAGUUUCAGAAGAUUAUUACUAAACCGGUGUUCAUCAUCUUGAAUCAUGAAUUUUAAGGACUUCGAGCAGCUCUUAAAUACUUUUAUUUUAUAUGAUUAAUGGGUGGAAACAUAGGAUUCACAGAAGUCUGUGAAGGGUUUUUAAGAACAUGGAUUAACUGAAUAAUCAUAGAAUCUUUUGAGUAUAUUUGUCCUUUUGAGGAGAAAAGAGUAUUUUACAGAAGGAAGCAGUUUGUGGGGGACUUUUAAGAGGUACAGUCACUGCUUUUUUUUUUAAAUACAUUUUAAGUAUCACUCGCUACUCUCGUGUGAAGGAAAUAAAUGAAUAGAUGGUCUCAACAGAGAAAGUCAUGCCAACUCUUUAUAAAUGAAGAGACUUCAUCCCUAUGUUGUUCUAACUGGGCUUCUUUCUUCCUGGGUAUUCACGUGGUGAAACUGUUCGAUGAAGAAGACUAACUUUCUGGCAAUACCUGCAGUGUGUCUCAUUUAAAAUGCAGUGAAUUUUUGAUGGAUUAUCAGUAGCACUUUUAUCCAAGGGGCAUGGACAGGGAACCGGAUUACUGGAAGCAGUGAGUGUAGUUGAAGGAAUUGUUCUCCUUCCAGUGGAUAAGUUAUUUGACCUACUGACUCAUUUCUCGGGAAUUAGGAAAACAGCCUGGUGUGGUUUUCAUUAUUAGCCCUGGAGGAUUCCAAAAUCGGUGUGCCUGCAAAUAAGAUGAGCUGGAGAAAGGUGGUGUUGGCACUUGUUACUUCUACUUGCCCAGUCUCCUAAUGGAAUUCAAUUCUUUGCUUUCAGGAUAAGUCCAGCCUGCACUUGGGGCCCUCUGUGUGACCGACUGUUCAAUGGUGACAGCCUUCGCCUAGCAGCAGAGGCAUGGGCUUCAGAUGCUUUCCCAUCAUUGUGCGUGAGUUUCUGUUGGGAUCUGCUUAGGAAGUGGCCACUGGCCACGCCAUGAGGGGUAAGAGCGUUGAUCAGACCCAAGGUGAGCGGCCUGCACUUCCUGACUUGUUAGCAUCCUGCUGAAGCCACUGGAGAUCCUCAACCAUGGCACCUGUAACAGGCUCCUGCAGCCGUAUGCACAGCGAGAUUGCACAAUGACGGUGAUGUGUGAGGAAAGGCAAAGGGAGAAGCCAAAGUGCAGUGAAUUUAUUUAAGCAAGAAUGCACAGUAAGUGAACGCCAGAGCCAGGAUUAGAAUCCACAGUUCACAAAAUAGUAUCAUGAUAAACAAGAAAUGGCGGUGGUGUCUUAGAUUAAAAGAGGCCAGAGAGUCUUAAUGCAUGAACCUUGAUGGGAUCUGGGUUGGAAACACAAACAAGAGAACUAUAAAGAACAUUUUUUGGAGACAGUGGGAGAAGGUGAAUAUGGACUGGAUAUUAGGUGAUACAAAGGAAUGGUUAAUUUUCUUGGGCGUGGUAUGGUAUUGUGUUUUCAUGAAAGAAUGGCCUCAUUUUUUAGACCGUACAUGCUGAGGUAUUUAGCAGCAGAGUGCCUGGAUGGUCUUCAAAUUACUUUCAAAUGAUUCAGCAAAAAGAUCUACUUACAUGUUACAUAUAGAUAACAUAAAAACCAAACCCACUGUCGUCGAGUCAAUUCCGACUCAUAGUGACCCUCCAGAUAACAGAGAUGAAGCAAAGCUGAACAAUUGUCGAAUUUAGGUGUUUGUUUUAUUGUUCAACUUUCUGUAUGUCUGAAAUUUUUUGUAAUAACAGUUUUAAAAAAGGAAUGCACAUCUCUCUAGUUAGGCAGCCUGUGCAUUAUCUUCUGGGAUUCCUAGAACGUUAAAGGGAAUGACAACAGGCCGCCUAGUACAAUGAUGUCAAGAGCUAUAGUGGGAGGGAAAGAAGAACUGCAGCUAAAAAUAAUAUGCCAAAGAAAAUGAAGAGGCACGAAGCCUUUAACUUCGCAUUGACAGGGAGGAGAAUCUUUUGUAGAGAGAUAACAAAAAUCCCAAACUCAGAGAUGCAAUCUAGGGAAUUCCACUCUGGAAAAAAACAUCAGGAUCCUAUGAACAUCAGUAUGUUACUUGACCUCUCAGCUAUCCCUUGUCUUCCUUGGACCCAAAACACAGUUAUCCCUUGAAUGAAGCAAAAUUAUCUCAAAGAGAAAGUAUGGGGUUUAAGAAAGCUUUUUCUUCUGCUCUGCAGUUUUGUUCUGCCCUGGCCCCAGAGCCCUGCUGGCUGUGUACUGUAUAUCUUAUGUUGUAAAGCUCUGCACACCACUCUCAUUAUCCUUCACCUGGAUGCUUUCACCCUGGAUGAGCUCUGGCUUCUCCUGCCCUUGCUUCCUUACUCAAGUAAAGGAUUUUCCUUGACUGCCCACCAGGAGUGUACGGGUUGGCACAUGCAUGGCCUCAGAAUGAUAUAACUGAGCGUUUGUCUGGGCAACUCAAGAAGAAGGAGAGUCACAGUCACCCCACUUCAUUCCUAGAUUUGGUGAUAACAGAUUUGGGACUGAUUUAGCCAGAAGGUCAGCCUGCCACUGCUGCCUCUGCACCAGAAGUGGGAUCCUGGGAACAGAAGGGGCAUCUGCCGGGAUUCCAGGCCUCACCCUUCCUAUUUUCUCUCUGCCCUGGAAGAGCCCUGUAGCCUAACAGUCAAGAGGUAAUAUCUACCCUGCUUAACCACGCUCAGGUCUCUACCUCUUCUACCCUCCUCACGUCCACUUCCUGCCAUUUGACCCUGUUUAUUUGUAAUUUGGGAAAGCGCUUUUCAGCUCAGGGCUGAGACUUGGAAUUUGUAGCCGAAACAUUCUGUCCACUACGCAAAUAUGACAGUUUUUCUAUCCUAUGGUUGUUUUUCCCCCAAAAUUCUGUCCUUGGCUUUCUUACCUGCUCUCUGUUUCCCUGAGUAAUCUCAUCUACUCCCUUGGCUCCAAAUAUACCUCCUAUGUGCUUAUUCCCCAGAAACUAGGAACUCUAGCCUCCAGUAUUUUUCCAGAAUGUUUUAUUGCCAUAUUUUCAGUGGCUAAUAGAUAGUUGGAGUCCCUGGGUGGUACAAAUGCUAACAUGCUCAGCUGCUAACUGAAAGGAUGGAGGUUUGAGUCCGCCUAGAGG